GGCCGGAGCCCCCUGUAAGCAGGGGUGCAGCCUCUUUGGCCACUGCUUUGCAGGCCCAGCUGCCUUUGCCCAGAGGGCCCGGCUCCCAGCAGCGGAUGGGACUGCAUUGCUGUGAAGCCGUGGGAGAAGAAAGAAGAGACAGGAGUGGACCUUCGAGGCAAGAGCCAAGAAGAAGAAGAGCAGCAUCGAGCUCAAGAUGGGGCAUGACAGAGACCCUUUGGGCAAAGGCACCUCCCUGGCACUUAUUGGGAGUUGAAAAUAAUAAAUUCCAUAUCUAGUUUAUUGUCUGUUGUAUAGUUUUAUAUGUACUCUAUAUGUUUUUGAGUCCUGCAUUUUCAGUGGUUAAUUUUUGGUGCAGUAUUAUGCAUAUUUAUGUUUCUCCUUAUACAGUCAUUAUUUGAAUCCUCUGCCUUAACUCCACCCCUUGUUCUGGCACCUUCCCUACCCUGUAGUAUAUAAGGUGGGAGCCAUUUUGUGUCACGGUUUUUUCUACCCUUAUCCUGCGCCUGUUCAUCCUCUUCCUUUGAAGACAAUAAAACCUUUUAGCUGCUUUCACUCCAAAA